GAAGAGGGAGUCAGUUAUUCUUCCUGGGAGCUCUCCUGAAUAGAAUCUAUACACAUUAAUAUCCCAAGUGGAACCAUACACAGAAACAAGGAAAAUGAAGCAACUAAAGCAGUGGUCUUCAACCUUUCCGGCACCAGGGACCAGUAUAGUGGACGGACAUGAAACCAAAGGAAAGAAGCUAAAUUUUCUAUAUGGACUGAGGUAGAAAAAGAGAAUAAACAAACAGAGAGAACAUUCAAGUUCAGCAAGGCAGGAACAAGAAGAUCUUGAGAAGAUCAAGAGAAAUAAGCCCUUGAGAAUAUUUUGAGAAAAGCAUUCGAUUUCCAUACAGGUGGUAAUAGGAGCCUCUAAUUAACCUUAAUUUCUUAGGAUGAGUUUAGGACACUUGUUUUUGAUAGCACCUCCAACACAGAUAAUGGCCAGUAGUUAGGAUUUUAAGCAGAAGAUUGCGAUUAUACUUCCUCUUGAUAUAGAACUCUUCUCAAACUCAGAUUAACAAAAAAAAAAAUUAAAAAUUUGCCAAGUUUCCAC
rnacentral:lncRNA from 1 species